GAAGAUGUAACGGGGCUAAACCAUGCACCGAAGCUGCGGCAGCGACACUCAGGUGUUGUUGGGUAGGGGAGCGUUCUGUAAGCCUGUGAAGGUGUGUCGUGAGGCAUGCUGGAGGUAUCAGAAGUGCGAAUGCUGACAUAAGUAACGAUAAAGCGGGUGAAAAGCCCGCUCGCCGGAAGACCAAGGGUUCCUGUCCAACGUUAAUCGGGGCAGGGUGAGUCGACCCCUAAGGCGAGGCCGAAAGGCGUAGUCGAUGGGAAACGGGUUAAUAUUCCCGUACUUG
rnacentral:rRNA from 1 species